AUGCCCGCAGCAGCACUCCCGCCGCCCGUGCUCCUUCCCCAGCAGCGCACCCCGACGCCUCCUCGUCCACACACAGCCCGCGAGGCACCGGCCUCCUCUACUUCGCGCCUCUCGAGCAGCGACCAGGAGCCCGAGCUCCAUCUUCUACGCCUGCGUCCGAGUGAGAGGAGCUCGCUGCUCGAGCAUGCACAAGACCCAUGGCGCCCUCCCAAGCUCCUCCCGUGCGUGCCUCCACUCGUUCUCGUCGCCCUCCGUCUUCAUCGCAGCACCACAGGACCAACAGCUCCACCGCGCGUGCCCGCCAGUGGCAAGACCGUGAUAUUCCCCUCCCUCAUGCAACUGGAGCACGGGAUGAGCGACUCCGACGACCGGAGGCAGAGGGCGGCGUGCUCGGAGAGGUACAGGAGGAGAGACGAGUCGGAGGACAACAAGAGGCCCGUCUCCAAGAUCAACGCCGAGAUAGAGGAGGAGUGCAGGAUCUGCAUGGAGCUCAACAGCAGGGUCGUGCUGCGCAACUGCAGCCACGACAUGGGCAUCAAGUGCUACCGUCAAUGAGCAAACAUGUUUGGUCCUGUGCAUGUACUUCUCAUGGAAUUGCUCAUGUCAUGUCAGGCGGCGGCGCUGGUGACGCUGCUGUUCGUGAUCGCGGUCAACCUGGCGAUCGGCAUCCUGCCGCACAUGAUGCGCCCGACGCCAUGGAGUACCUCACGAGCAUGCUCGCCUCCCCAGCAUCCCGAUCUCAACGAGCCUAGCGGCCGCCGUCCUUGUCCUGCUCGAGGAGCAGGAGGAGGAGGGGCGCAUCUAGCCAGCCACAAAGGGUCUGCUCUGUACCACCACAUCAUCGGCCUUCUGCAGCAUCGAGUUCAAUAUGUCAGGUGA
rnacentral:rRNA from 1 species